rnacentral:misc_RNA from 1 species
AACCAUUCUCACCUGCGGCUAGACCUGCGGAAGGAUCAUUACAGAGAUUGAUGCACCAAGUGCAUCACCUCCAACCCCUUGCGAAAACAACUAUCAUGUGUUGCUUUGGCAGUGUUUCCACUGCCAGAGGUUUACAUAAAAUCAGCUGUUGGAUGUUGUCUGAGUAAACUAUAUGAAUUAUUUAAAACUUUCAACAAUGGAUCU